rnacentral:misc_RNA from 1 species
UUUCCGUAGGUGAACCUGCGGAGGGAUCAUUAAAGAGAUCAUGCCCUCACGGGUAGACCUCCCACCCUUUGUUUACAAUACCUUUGUUGCUUUGGCGGGCCCGUUUGGCCCCGCGCUGAACAACCGGCCCCGGCUGGUCAGUGCCCGCCAGAGAACCGAAAACUCUGAAUUAAAUGUCGUCUGAGUACUAUGUAAUAGUUAAAACUUUCAACAACGGAUCUCUUGGUUCUG